CAGUCGCCACGGUAAUACGGAGGGUGCAAGCGUUAUCCGGAUUUAUUGGGUUUAAAGGGUCCGUAGGCGGACUUAUAAGUCAGUGGUGAAAGCCUGUCGCUUAACGAUAGAACUGCCAUUGAUACUGUAAGUCUUGAGUAUAUUUGAGGUAGCUGGAAUAAGUAGUGUAGCGGUGAAAUGCAUAGAUAUUACUUAGAACACCAAUUGCGAAGGCAGGUUACCAAGAUAUAACUGACGCUGAGGGACGAAAGCGUGGGUAGCGAACAGGAUUAGAUACCCGCGUAGUCCCUGUCUCUUAUAC
rnacentral:rRNA from 1 species